rnacentral:tRNA from 1 species
GCCACUGUAGUUCAAUGGAUAGAACAAGACACUCCUAAGGUCUAGAUACAGGUCCGAUUCCUGUCAGUGGCA